AGUGNUAAGGUUCUGAAAACCGUUUAGACUUUUCGAUAGCAGCAUGCCGGUAAUCGUUAAGGUCACCUAUUGUGGUGGAUGAGGGUACGGGCCCAAGUUCCGGGAAAUUGAAAAAAAGAUCCUGGGAGAAUUUGAUGAUGAUGAUGUGGAUGUGAAAGGAGAAAGCACACCAACUAUCACAGGUUAUUUGGAGGUAGAAGUGGGCGGAAAGCUUGUGCAUUCAAAAAAGAAUGGCGAUGGAUAUGUUGACAGCAGAGCCAAGUGGGAUAAGAUCAUGAGUGCCAUCAAAGAGGCUGUUGCAAAGGCCUGAGUGUGUGCAUCAGCGUGUUUGAGGGGAGUGUGUACAGUCGAGGUACAGUCGUAAUUUAACUCUCUUGAUAAGAGACCAAAAGUUUUUAUCCCAGUAAGGUUGCAGAGUUAAUGUUUUUUCCUGGACUUACUCCUUCCAAAAGAGAAGAGAUAAUGCACAGAGCCUUCCUUAUGGUUAAAUCUCGCACAUUUCAUCACUUUUCAAUCAUGAUAACUGAAGGUGCUUGUGUGAGCCAAGAUUUUCAUGCAUGUUACCUGGCUAAUGUUUGGAGUAGAAAGGUUA